ensembl:lncRNA
CUGAAACCCAAGAGGAGAGUCUGUCCAGUUUCAAAGAUGGGGGAGCCUGGCAAGGCAGACGCUUGCCAUAUGAUCCCCUACUUUUGCUGCCCCUCAGAGAAUCUCUCCCUUUGUUCCUGAAUGGAGGAGUGAAAAAUCAGAGCAGUCUCACUUCCCUUUGCCCUGGUUCUGUGCACUCCGGGAAAGUAUCGCACAGGGAGUACCAGGCAAGAAUGUGAACGACGAUGUGUGACAGAAAGCCUGCAUCCAUAUCCUAAGAGUUCGAGUGCUGAGUUUUUUCCUGUGGUCACUUGAUAAAUUCUGGAUCCCAAGAUGGGAGUUUCAAAGGGAUACUGUGUGUGUCAAUGAUGUGAAAGGAGAAACGGAGCUGUCUGGAAGAAGAAGCAGACGAGUAUACACAAGAGAGGAGAGCCAUUGGAAGGAAUGCAGGGUAGACAUGCUCAAAGUAUGUUAUAUACGGGUAUGGGAAUGGUCUUAUUUUACCCAGUUAAAUAAAGCAAACAGUUUUCCAAAGACGGGAGGUUAUCACCGUGA